ACAUGCAAGUCGAGCGGUAAGGCCCUUCGGGGUACACGAGCGGCGAACGGGUGAGUAACACGUGAGCAACCUGCCCCCGACUCCGGGAUAAGCGGUGGAAACGCCGUCUAAUACCGGAUACGACCGGCCGCCUCAUGGUAGCCGGUGGAAAGUUUUUCGGUUGGGGAUGGGCUCGCGGCCUAUCAGCUUGUUGGUGGGGUAAAGGCCUACCAAGGCGAUUACGGGUAGCCGGCCUGAGAGGGCGACCGGCCACACUGGGACUGAGACACGGCCCAGACUCCUGCGGGAGGCAGCAGUGGGGAAUAUUGCGCAAUGGGCGAAAGCCUGACGCAGCGACGCCGCGUGGGGGAUGACGGCCUUCGGGUUGUAAACCUCUUUUACCACCAACGCAGGCUCCCAGUUCUCUGGGGGUUGACGGUAGGUGGGGAAUAAGGACCGGCUAACUACGUGCCAGCAGCCGCGGUAAUACGUAGGGUCCGAGCGUUGUCCGGAAUUAUUGGGCGUAAAGAGCUCGUAGGCGGCGUGUCGCGUCUGCUGUGAAAGACCGGGGCUUAACUCCGGUUCUGCAGUGGAUACGGGCAUGCUAGAGGUAGGUAGGGGAGACUGGAAUUCCUGGUGUAGCGGUGAAAUGCGCAGAUAUCAGGAGGAACACCGGUGGCGAAGGCGGGUCUCUGGGCCUUACCUGACGCUGAGGAGCGAAAGCAUGGGGAGCGAACAGGAUUAGAUACCCUGGUAGUCCAUGCCGUAAACGUUGGGCGCUAGGUGUGGGGACUUUCCACGGUUUCCGCGCCGUAGCUAACGCAUUAAGCGCCCCGCCUGGGGAGUACGGCCGCAAGGCUAAAACUCAAAGGAAUUGACGGGGGCCCGCACAAGCGGCGGAGCAUGUUGCUUAAUUCGACGCAACGCGAAGAACCUUACCAAGGUUUGACAUCACCCGUGACCUGCAGAGAUGUGGGGGUCAUUUAGUUGGUGGGGUGACAGGUGGUGCAUGGCCUGUCGUCAGCUCGUGUCGUGAGAUGGUGGUUAAGUCCCCGCACGAGCGCACCCUUAUUCCAUGUUGCCAGCACGUAUGUGGGACUCAUGGGAGACUGCCGG
rnacentral:rRNA from 1 species